GGGGCUAUCCAGGAAAAGAUAUUUAUGGCUUCUCAGGAUAGUUCAUCAGUAUCCGAUCUGCAGGGGUUGAGCGCUGAAGUCUCUUCCUAGGCCAGAGACAUUGGUCACAUGGCCUAGUUGCAGCUCAGCCCCAUUCAAGUCAAUGGGGCUGAGCUGCAAUACCAAGCACUGCCACUAUACAAUGUAUGGUGCUGUCCUUGGAAAGCUGCUGGGAGCCUGCAUCGCUCACCAGAGCUCCAGCGAGAGCAGCAGCUCCCUGCAACAGCGGGAGACACUUGGCCCCCCCACUGAUGUGAUAUGAUGACCUUUCUUGAGGAGAAGUAAUUUACCUUUUCCAAGAUACCCCUUUAAAUUCCUGCUCUUUUUGGGCUUUAAAAGGCACCUGUCAUGU